rnacentral:rRNA from 1 species
CGAUGGGCCGACGUCGCAUGCUCCGGCCGCCAUGGUUAUCAGUAGCUGGUCUGAGAGGAUGACCAGCCUCACUGGGACUGAGACACGGCCCAGACUCCUACGGGAGGCAGCAGUGGGGAAUCUUGCGCAAUGGGCGAAAGCCUGACGCAGCUAUGCCGCGUGAAUGAUGAAGGUCUUAGGAUUGUAAAAUUCUUUCACCGGGGACGAUAAUGACGGUACCCGGAGAAGAAGCCCCGGCUAACUUCGUGCCAGCAGCCGCGGUAAUACGAAGGGGGCUAGCGUUGCUCGGAAUUACUGGGCGUAAAGGGCGCGUAGGCGGAUCGUUAAGUCAGAGGUGAAAUCCCAGGGCUCAACCCUGGAACUGCCUUUGAUACUGGCGAUCUUGAGUAUGAGAGAGGUAUGUGGAACUCCGAGUGUAGAGGUGAAAUUCGUAGAUAUUCGGAAGAACACCAGUGGCGAAGGCGACAUACUGGCUCAUUACUGGCGCUGAGGCGCGAAAGCGUGGGGAGCAAACAGGAUUAGGUACCCUGGUAGUCCACGCCGUAAACGAUGAUUGCUAGUUGUCGGGCUGCAUGCAGUUCGGUGACGCAGCUAACGCAUUUAAGCAAUCCGCCUGGGGGAGUACGGUCGCAAGGAUUUAAAACUCAAAGGAAUUGACGGGGGGCCCGCACAAGCGGUGGAGCAUGUGGGUUUAAUUCGAAGCAACGCCGCAGAGCCUUACAACCUUUUGGACAUGCCUGGGACCGCCCCGGGAGACGGGGCUUUCCCUUCGGAGGACUAAGGACACAGGGGGCUGGC